rnacentral:rRNA from 1 species
UACGUAGGGACCAAGCGUUGUUCGGAUUUACUGGGCGUAAAGGGCUCGUAGGUUGCCAACUAAGUCGGACGUGAAAUCCCUCAGCUUAACUGGGGAACUGCGUCCGAUACUGGAUGGCUUGAGUUUGGGAGAGGGAUGCGGAAUUCCAGGUGUAGCGGUGAAAUGCGUAGAUAUCUGGAGGAACACCGGUGGCGAAGGCGGCAUCCUGGACCAACACUGACACUGAGGAGCGAAAGCCAGGGGAGCAAACGGG